GCUACACAUGCAGUCGAACGAACUCUUCGGAGUUAGUGGCGGACGGGUGAGUAACACGUGGGAACGUGCCUUUAGGUUCGGAAUAACUCAGGGAAACUUGUGCUAAUACCGAAUGUGCCCUUCGGGGGAAAGAUUUAUCGCCUUUAGAGCGGCCCGCGUCUGAUUAGCUAGUUGGUGAGGUAAAGGCUCACCAAGGCGACGAUCAGUAGCUGGUCUGAGAGGAUGAUCAGCCACAUUGGGACUGAGACACGGCCCAAACUCCUACGGGAGGCAGCAGUGGGGAAUCUUGCGCAAUGGGCGAAAGCCUGACGCAGCCAUGCCGCGUGAAUGAUGAAGGUCUUAGGAUUGUAAAAUUCUUUCACCGGGGACGAUAAUGACGGUACCCGGAGAAGAAGCCCCGGCUAACUUCGUGCCAGCAGCCGCGGUAAUACGAAGGGGGCUAGCGUUGCUCGGAAUUACUGGGCGUAAAGGGAGCGUAGGCGGACAUUUAAGUCAGGGGUGAAAUCCCGGGGCUCAACCUCGGAAUUGCCUUUGAUACUGGGUGUCUUGAGUAUGAGAGAGGUGUGUGGAACUCCGAGUGUAGAGGUGAAAUUCGAGAUAUUCUGAAAACACAGUGGCAAGGUAACACUGGCUCGUUAUGCGGUGA
rnacentral:rRNA from 1 species